rnacentral:tRNA from 1 species
GGCGAGAUAGCUCAGCUGGUAGAGCAGCGGACUGAACAUCCGCGUGUCGUCUGUUCGAUCCCGACUCUUGCCACCA